GCCAUCGUACAUGCUCUGGGUGUCUUGAGGAGCUUGUCUUUGGAUGAUGCUGAGCAGGUCUUUCUUUCUGGUAAAGAUUAUCAUUACAGUGAAGUAAAAGAAUUUAACAGACAAACAACUGACGAAAGAAGAGAGACCAUUCAAUAGUCCCUUUAUUUAUCAGGGGUUGCCACAGCAGAAUGAACCGCCAACUUAUCCAGCAUAUGUUUUACACAGUGGAUGCCCUUCCAGCCGCAACCCAGUACUGGGAAACACCCAUUUACACUCAUAGUGUACACUUGAACACGGGGAGAACAUGCAAAUUCUACACAGAAAGGACCACUGGCCCAGCCGGGGCUUGAACCAGCAACCUUCUUGCUGUGAGGCGACGGUGCUAACCACUGUGCUGCCCUAUGUGCUCUAUGCGGGUGAGUGGGAUUGACAAACCACCUGGAGGACACACUCUUGCUGUCUUAAUGCACCAGACAUUUUGUUAUAAAUAAUCAUGUGCGUUUCAUGUUUAUUCAUAUAACUACUAUUUUAUGUCAUAGCACUUCAUUUUUGUCUUGAUAUUUAAUAUGUCUUGUUUAAAUACACUAUGAACAGCAGCUGCGCUAAUUAAUUUCCUUGUUCCCUAUUUCCACCUGGGGAUAUUCAUCCCUAGGCCUCUAGAGAUCGUGACCUGUGAAGAGAUGAUGCCACCAUAGAGGACUUCUAAAUGUAUCCAUAAUCCUGAAACAGACCGUAUCAUGAGCAGAUGCUGUGGUGG
rnacentral:lncRNA from 1 species